rnacentral:rRNA from 1 species
AUUGAACGCUGGCGGAAUGCUUUACACAUGCAAGUCGAACGAUGAAGCCUAGCUUGCUAGGUCGAUUAGUGGCGAACGGGUGAGUAAUAUAUCGGAACGUAUCCAAUAAUGGGGGAUAACUAGUCGAAAGAUUGGCUAAUACCGCAUACGUCCUACGGGAGAAAGCUGGGGAUCGUAAGACCUGGCGUUAUGGGGCGGCCGAUAUCUGAUUAGCUAGUUGGUGAGGUAAAGGCUCACCAAGGCGACGAUCAGUAGCUGGUCUGAGAGGACGACCAGCCACACUGGAACUGAGACACGGUCCAGACUCCUACGGGAGGCAGCAGUGGGGAAUUUUGGACAAUGGGCGAAAGCCUGAUCCAGCCAUUCCGCGUGAGUGAAGAAGGCCUUCGGGUUGUAAAGCUCUUUCGCAAGGGAAGAACACUUACUUAAUAACACUAAGUGAGGUUGACGGUACCUUGAUAAGAAGCACCGGCUAACUACGUGCCAGCCGCCGCAGUAACAC